AUAAUAUUUAAAAUAGUAUUUUUUAUUUAAAGUGAUUUUAGAUCAACUUUUUAACCAUAAACACAACUAGAAACGGCAUAAUCUCACUAGAAAAAAGAAAAAAAAAUUCCUCAUAAAAGAAAUUAUAUAACAGCAUUAGAAACCCAUAUAUAAUCUCUGAAGUUGAAUGAGCAUGAAAGCCUUAGAGUUCAAUCUUGAUGAAGACUUUGGUAGCCCUCUACCUAUCUCCUUCGUGCUUCACAAGACUUUGAUUUCUUCUACUUUGCUCAACAGUGGCCAAGUUCAUACUGUGAUACAAAGCAAAGUUGCUGCUACCCAGCCACUCGAAAACCUGGUGCUGAUUUUGGCAUGCACAGGCCUUGGCCUAAUAAUUACAAGGAUGGGAAUUACCCUUUAAAUUGUGAUACCGGCAAUUCCUUCAAUCAAAAUAAGUUCUUGACCAACACUAGCUUGCCCAAGGGGCAAUGGAGUGGCCUUUUGGCUACAUGAAUGGGACAAGCAUGGCACAUGCUUUGAGUUAGUUCUUGACCAACAUGGCUACUUCAAGGCAGCUCUUGACUUGAAGAAGCAAGUAAAUCUCCUCCAGGCUCUUGAGAAUGCAGGUGAAUCCUAAUAUAUGUCAAUUUAUAUAAAUUUUGUCCCAUUUCAAGUGAAAUUUAAGAUAAUUUAUUUUUAUC